UACAAGUUCAUCCGUGAAAAGAUUGAGAAGUUUAUAUAGAAGUUCCACGUGUUAAAACGAGUUGUUUGUGAAUAAAGGCUUGUUUGUUAGAUUUCAAUUGUGGCUCAGUUGGUUGUUUGCUGAGAAGCUGUGAAACAUAAUUAUACAGGCCAUUAAGGAGGUUUUUGUCAGAUUGAUGAAUGUGAAAUUAAGAGGACCCAUUUUGAGAAUGCUUUUUAUGACUGGAAUCAAGAGAGAUAAAGUCUAAAAUGUGAUACUGUCAAUGUGACUAACCUUGAAGUAAACAGAUGACACAAUGUUUUUUCAAUGUCAUGGGCAUAUAAUGAAGAGAAAACAGAGAUGCUUGUUUGACAGAUACAGUAAUAGUAGGAGUUAUGAGGGAAGAUAGAUUGCAGUGAUAACUAUAUUUGAGGCACCACUUCAUCACCAAGAACAUGAAAUGAAUUAUCAAUGUUUUCAAUGUGUUUGAACACCCAUUUUAAAUAAUACAGCUCAGAGUGAAUUUUUCAAAAUAAUUAAUUCUGUUUUCAAAGUUUUUUAUUUAGAUGUUAGUUGAUCUUGUCAAGUACUUUAUUUUUUAGGGAUGGCAACAAUUACUAAAAUCAAUACUCGAGUGCUCGGUCAUUUAGAGUAUUCGGUUACUUGGAUGAUUUCCAAUGAUGUCUUUAAAUUUUUAUCACACAAUAUCAACACCGUCUGCAUGCUACCUUCAUUUUCUAUUUUAAUUCAUAGAAUUUGUAGCUAUAAAUAGGAUUGCAAGAAAUACAUAUAAUAAAUAUAAGCAUAAGAAAUGUCAAUGACAGCAUUUAUUAUAUACCAAUAAAUUUUCUUCCUAAAACACAGGAUUAUCUUGAAGCGCAAAUAGUUUUCAACGGUUAGAAAAUUCUGUAUUACGUUAGAGACAAAACAGUACCAUAUAUGAAAGGCCUGGACUAUUUUUAUGCUCCCCGAAAAAUUUCGGGUGAGCAUAUAGUCGCCGCCUUGUCCGUCCGUCCAUCCCCUUUUCUUGUCCGGGACUUAACUUUGAAACAACAAGAGGUAUCAACAUGAAACUUUGUAGGUUAAGGUAGAUAGAUCUCAUUGAGUAGGUGUGCAGUGCACAAGACUGUAGCUCUGCCUUGCUUAAUUUUUGAAUUAUUCCCCUUUGUUUAUUUUACACUUUGAACUUUGUCCAGGACAUAACUCUAAAAGUAUAGAGGUAUCAACAUGAAACUUUGUAGGUAGAUAGAUCUCAUUGAGUUGGUGUGCAGUGUACAAGAACCGUAACUCUGCCUUGCCUAAUUUUUGAAUAAUCCCCCUUUGUUUAUUUUACACUUUGAAAUUUGUCCGGGACAUAACUCUAAAACUAUAAGAGGUAUCAACAUGAAACUUUGUAGGUAGAUAGAUCUCAUUGACUUGGUAUGCAGUGCACAAGAACCGUAACUCUGCCUUGCCUAAUUUUUGAAUUAUCCCCCUUUCUUUAUUUUACACUUUGAACUUUGUCUCUAAAACUAUAACAGGUAUCAACAUGAAACUUUGUAGGUAGAUAGAUUUCAUUGAGUUGGUAAGCAGUGAACAAGAACCUUAACUCACUCUUGCCUAAUUUUUGAAUUAUCCCCCUUUGUUUAUUUUUACACUUUGAACUUUGUCCGAGACAUAACUCUCAAUGUAAAAGAGAUAUCAACAUGAAACUUUGUAGGUAGAUAGAUAUCGUUGAGUAAGUUUGCAGUGCACAAGAACUGUAACACUGUUGCCUACUUUUGGAGUUAUUGCCCUUUGAUCAUUUUGACACUUUAAACUCUGUCCAGGACAUUACUCUAAGCAGUGCUUAAGAAUCAUUACUCUGCCUUGCCUAAUUUUGAAGUAAUUGCCCUUUGUUUAUUUUUACUUUUUGACUUUUGUCCGAGACAUAACUUUAAAACUAUUAGAGAUAUCAACAUGAAACUUUGUAGGUAGCUAGAUAUAAUUGGAUAGAACUGCAAUGCUUAAAGAACCUAAAGAAAGCCUGGUCUAAUUUUGGAGUUAUUACCCUAAUUUCAUUUUUACACUUUGAAUUUUACCUUGGACAUAACUCUGAUAUCAUCAGGCAACUUUAUAGAUAGAAAGAUCUAAUUGAAUAGAAGUGCAGUGCAAAAAAAAAAAUAACUCCGCUUUGCCUAAUUUCGGGGUUUUUGCCCUUUGUUCAUUUUUUUUAUACUUUCCAGUGUCCAGAACCUUCUCGGGGAGCAUCAACCGGUUCUUGUUAAUGUUGGUUCUGAUCUUAGCUGUGUAUAACAUAGUAUAUGGAAAUGGCAACCAAAAUAAUAAAAGGUGUGGCUGGUUUUGCACACAUUACGUAUUCAUCUGUCAGUCAUAAUUUAUUUCUUGACAGCUACAUUUCUUUUUCUGAAAUUUCUUGUAUAAGUGUAGUAUAAUGAAAAUCAUUUAUACUUCAAACGAAAAGGUAUAUUAUUAAAGGAAAAUUAUGUUGUAGUAGUUUUCUGAGGCUAUGCAUUUUUCUACUUGCAAUGUUGGAAAAUUGUUAUCUAGCUCGCCCUUUGGUCUCGCAAGAUAUCAAUUUCCCACCACUGCUCAUAGCAAAAUACAAAGCCUCAGAGAGCUACUACAACAUAAUACUCUGUAUAUAUAUUUUUUAUAAUUAACAAGUUUGGGCUAUCCUUGAACUUUUUUUUAUUUAAUCAAGUUUGAUUUUUAACCAGGUUUUCCGAAGGAAAAAACUGGUUAUUAGAUUGAGGUAUGUCGGCGGGCGGGCGGGCGUAAACAAUUUCUUCUGUGCGCAACUCCUCCUACAUUUCUCAACGGAUUUUGACCAAACUUUCACAGAAGCUUUGUCAUCAAGUGCCCUGGCGCAUAUUGUCGGGGUUUUGCGAUUAGAUAAUAUUUGACCUAAUUAUGGCCCUUUGUUUUUUUUCCUUAUAUAAAAUAUAUAGUGAACAAUUUAUUCUGUGCGCAACUCCUCCUACAUUUCUCAACGGAUUUUGACCAAACUUUCUCAGAAGCUUUGUCAUCAAGUGCCCUGACACAUAUUGCCAGGGUUUUGCAAUUGGUAUAUAUUUGACCUAAUUAUGGCCCUUUGUUUUUUUUUUCCUUUAUAGAAUAUAUAGUGAACAAUUUCUUCUGUGCGCAACUCCUCCUACAUUUCUCAACGGAUUUUGACCAAACUUUCUUAGAAGCUUUGUUAUCAAAUGCCUGGCACAUAUUGUCGGGGUUUUUUGUGAUUGGAUAAUAUUUGACCGAAUUAUGGCCCUUUGUAUAUUUUUUCCUUAUACAGAAUAUAUAGAGAACAAUUUCUUCUGUGCUCAACUCCUACAUUUCUCAACGGAUUUUGACCAAACUUUCUUAGAAGCUUUGUUUUUCAAGUGCCUGGCACAUAUUGUCGGGGUUUUGUGAUUGGAUAAUAUUUGACCGAAUUAUGGCCCUUUGUAUAUUUUUUCCUUAUACAGAAUAUAUAGUGAACAAUUUCUACAGUGCGCAACUUCACCUACAUUUCUCAAUGGAUUUUGACCAAACUUUCACAGAAGCUUUGUCAUCAAGUGCCCUGGCGCUCACUAAAUUCCCAUGUUUCUUCCAAGACAUCAUUCAAGUAUUUUUUUAAAAUUGUGAACAUACUUUUCUUGAUAUCGCACAAAACACCACACGCCAAUAUUGUUGACAAAAGAAAAUGACAAGAGACGCAAAAAUGCAAAAAUUAAGCAAAAAUAAAGUACUGUUUACCUUUCUAAAACAUUUGGGAAAAAAAGGCGAAUAGACAACAUAAAAUUUCUCAAUCAUUUUUGUUUGAGGAAUAUUAAAAAAGCCAUAAUUCCUCCUAAAAGUUCAAUUAAAAACAAAUGCCCCUUCAUGACAAAGCUUCUGUGAAAUAUUUUGCUGAAAACCUGGUUGCAUCGCAUUGCGAUGUUCCUUGUUUUUAAAUAUAUUUAUAUGAAUGCAUGCAGCUUUGAAAUAGAUUUUACUUAUGUAUAUUUGGCAGCAAUUUCAUAUGUAGCUCUUCGAAAAAAAAUCACUUGAGCAAAAAAAAUUUUAUAGGCAUAAAGUGAUACCCGUUCUGUCAUCAUCAGUUUUUGGUUUUUAGCUCACCUGAGCUUGCUCAGGGUGAGCUUUUAGGAUCGGUGAAUGUCCGUCGUCCGUCCACAAUUGCUUGUGAACACUCUAGCGGUCGCAUUUUUGCCUCAAUCAUCAUCAAACUUGGUCAGGAUGCUUAUCUAGUUGAUAUCUUGGAUGAGUUCGAACAUGGGUCAUCUCAGAUGAAAAAGUAGGACACCGGAGCUAAAAAUAGAAAAACAUUGUUAACACUCUAGCGGUCACAUUUUUGCAUCAAUCAUCAUCAAACUUGGUCAAGAUGCUUGUCUAUGUGAUAGCUCGGAUGAGUACAAACAUGGGUCAUCUCGGAUGAAAAAGAAGGUCACCGGAGCUAAAAAUAGAAAAACCUUGUUAACACUCUAGCAGUCACAUUUUUGCAUCAGUCAUCAUCAAACUUUUGUCAAGAUGUCUGUCUAGUUGAUAGCUCGGAUGAGUUUGAACAUGGGUCAUCUCGGAUGAAAAAGUAGGUCACCUGGGGUAGAAAUAGAAAAACCUUGUUAACACUCUAGUGGUCACAUUUUUGCAUCAAUCAUCAUCAAACUUGAUUAAGAUGCUUGUCUAGGUGAUAGCUCGGAUGAGUUCGGACAUGGGUCAUCUCGGAUGAAAAACUAGGUCACAGGAGCUAAAAAUAGAAAAACCUUGUUAACACUCUAGUGGUCACAAUUUUGACUCAAUUGUUAGCAAACUUGGUCAGGAAACUUGCUUAGGUCAUUGCUGGGAAUAAAUCGAACAUGGGACAUCUCGGAUGAAAAACUAGGUCACAGGAGAUAAAAAUAGAAAAAUCUUGUUAACACUCUAGUGGCUACUGUUGUGAUCCAAAUAUUCUGUUAAUUGGUCUAAAAGUUUGUUUUGAUGAUUUCUAAGUCAAGAUUCAACAUGGGUCAUCUUGGAUGAAAAACUAGGUCACACCGCCCAAAUAUGGAAAAGCCUUGUUAACAUUCUAGUGGUCACAUUUUCGACUCAAUUAUCAUCAAACUUGGUCAGGAUGCUUGUCUAGGUAAUUGCUUGGAUGAGUUCGAAAUCGCAUGUGAAACUAGGUCACCGGAGCUAAAAAUAGAAAAAUCUUGUUAACACUCUAGUUGCUACUGUUUUUAUCCAAGUAUCCUGGAAAUUGGUCUGACAGUUUGUUUUGAUGAUUUCUAGGUCAAGUUUGAAUAUGUGUCACCUGGGUAAAAACUAGGUCGCACUGCUCAAAUAUGGAUAAUCCUUGUUAACACUGUAGUGGUCACAUUUUUGACUCACCUGUCAUGAGACUUGGUCAGAAUGCUUGUCUAGGUAAUUGUUUGGAUGAGUUUGAUAAGUCAGGUGAGCGAUUAGGGCUAUCAUGGCCCUCUUGUUUUGUAUGGUUUUAUUUAAGAAAUAUUUUGUUCCAGUUAUUUACAGAUGUUUGUAUGAUUAUUGGAUUAAAGUUAAAGUACA